AAAAGAACAAGUAAGAUAAUUUCCCUUUCACCGAUACAUUAGGGUUUGAACUUUCAACUUUCAAUUAUUGCUGUCUUUCACCGAAUAGUCGCCAAGCACAGCAAUUUUUCUCAGUACCUCGUUUUUUUCUCAUUUGACCAGCAUCUGUAUCUCUCUAUCUCUCUCUCUCUAUCUCUCUCUGGUACUAUGCUCUUCAGCUAAUAUCAAUCUUAGCUACAAUGUCUCAUUGUGCAGAUAAGCUUUAUCCUUCUAUCUUGAAGAUUGUACUUGAUUCUGGAGUACUUGCAUAUCGAUGAUUUCUUGAGAUGUGGAAUCACCUGUUGUAGCUUUUAUUGAAAGCCAACACAAUUGAUUUUGGUAAGUUUUAUAGAAAAUAGCUAAAACGGGUUCACUGUGUUGUGUGGCUGCAAGGCCACAUGGUUCAAGUGCGACCAGUGGGGAUUGGUCCAUGGGUCAGCAUGAGAGUUGCUGGCAAAAUAAUACAAACUUCUCAUCACCCCCAUCAAGAUGGGAUUUUAGUUUCCCGUCUGAAGAGCUGCCAUAUGAAUCACCUGAAGCUACCCCACUAUUUAGGUCCUCAACAUCAUCAAACCAGAAGGAAUAUAGAUGGAUGAGAGGCAAUAAUCACUGUUCUGCAUCUGGUAGUGCAGGCCUACUUUUGAGUAGUCCUGAUCUUUCUUCAGGUCCCCAAUGGAUGCCUCCAGUCAUGCAGGAAAUUAGUGCCAAUGUUUAUGAAACUGCAACAAGGAGAGGUCAAGUUUUGCAGCCAUUACCUUCUGCACCUUCUAUAGUGGGAACUUCUGGAAAUCCAGAGAGUAGGGGAUCUACUUCAUCCUUUUCAGAUAGCAGUGAGUCCGAUCCCACAUUCAAGUCAUGCCCAUCCAAUCAUUGUAACUCUUCCAGUCGCCGUUCUUUUUUCUCCAAACCAAUCCACCCUUUAUUUUUUCCUACCCAAGCUACUAGUGAAGCUUCUACAACCCCAGCUACUGGGUCUUUACGGUUUGAUGCUGCUACCCUUCGAAGAGAUAGCCGCCGUUUGACCAGUGCUAGCAGUAGCAUAGAUUUUUCAGAUAUUUCUGAACAAUUUGAAUCCGAAAAUUUAGAUCGAUUAUUUGAAUCCGAAAAUUUAGAUCGAUUGUGUAUUUCAUCUGAUAGUUUUAAAUGUGGAUUAUGUGAAAGGUUUCUUUCACAAAGAUCCCCAUGGAGUUCUCGGCAGAUUGUAAGUGGAGACAUGCCGGUUGCUGGAGUUCUUUCAUGUUGUCAUGUUUUUCAUGCAGACUGUUUGGAGCAGACAACACCCACGGCACAUAAAAACGACCCUCCUUGCCCUCUAUGUGUCAGAUCAGAUGAGGAAAAAUUCCCAGAGCUGCAAGUUUUUCCCAGGUUGAAGAAUCGUUUCUCAAGUAUUACACCAUCUUCUGAGUUUGGACCAUCUAGGCCCUGGGGCUUUGUGACAAAGGGGGAUUCUGUUGAAGGAGCAUUACAUGCACCCCAUCAGAAUACCAUGUUGCUGCUCAACAGGAACCGAAUGAGAAAGAAUCUUUUUUUGAAGGGGAACUCUGGAAAGGAAUUUCCAGGAAAGCUGAUGAAGAGUGGCUCGUAUUCUUCACAGCUGCUGAAUGGAAAGUCUGUUGAUUUUGGAACAGUUGGUUGCUCAAAUGCAACGGCUAAUCCAAGUGUGAAGAGAUGAUAUUAUUGCUUAGCUGUCUGGAUUGUGAGUGACGCCUUGCCUUCUCUUGUAGUUUCCUAAUUGAUUCGCUCAUGUUAGCUGGAUAGAUGCCUGGCAGUUGGCAAUGAGAAUGGGCAACCAGAUCCGAUCAGGGAAGACUAGAAUGUGUUUUUGAUCAUGAUGGAUACUACUUUUGUCAUGGUUAUGAUUCUCAAACUGGCUUCAACUGCCAUCUGAGGUGCAGGCUUGCCCUUGCACGAACGAUUUUGCCAGGCCUUAAUUGAUGGGUUCCUUGAACAUCGCAAAUUGGGUAUCCUCAAUCUGGCGUAGAGCAUUUAUCAUUUAAUCCAACUGUUGAACAGAUGUACCCAACGUAGGGAAGAGUGAAAGAAAAAAACAAAAGCACAUCCAAGAAACUAUGAUCUUGUCUUUAAAAUUACUGAGAUUUUUUCAGUUAGAGUAGCAACGGGUGGUCGAGCGUCAACGGAGUUAGAUGUAUAUCGAAGACGAUAGAUUCCUUGUGAAAAUUAUGGCCUAGAGAAAACUGGAAUUGGACAACAAGAGGCCUCGUUUUGCAGUCUGGGAUCAAUUUUUUGUUUUGCAAAUUCUCGAGUUCUUACCAACUUGUAGAGCUCAAAGGUUUAAAGGCUACAUGUUAAAAUGAAAGGGCCUUCCUACUAUUCCUCAAAUGUGGUAAGCUGGUCCAAUCAGGGUUAAGAACAGUGGGUUUAUUUUUUAUCUUCCUAAAAUUCCUUGUCCUCGUAUAACCUACUUAAUCCUGGCUUUUGGGAGGAACAGUGCAAACUAGGGAUGGCAAAUAUUACU